rnacentral:rRNA from 1 species
AUUGAACGCUGGCGGCAGGCCUAACACAUGCAAGUCGAACGAGUGGCGGACGGGUGAGUAAUAUUUAGGCAACUGCCCGAUAGAGGGGGAUAACUACUGGAAACGGUAGCUAAUACCGCAUACUAUCGGAUGAUCCCACAUGGGAUUAGCUAGUAGGUGGGGUAAGGGCUGACCUAGGCGACGAUCGCUAGCUGGUCUGAGAGGAUGAACAGCCACACUGGAACUGAGACACGGCCCAGGCUCCUACGGGGGGCAGCAGAGGGGAAUAUUGCACAAUGGGCGAAAGCCUGAUGCAGCAAUGCCGCGUGUAUGAAGAAGGCCUUAGGGGUGAAAAGUACGUUCGUCGGGAAGGCGUUACCCGCAGAAGAAGCACCGGCUAACUCCGUGCCAGCAGCCGCGGGAAUUC